rnacentral:rRNA from 1 species
UGCGUAGGUGGCGGGGUAAGUCAGGUGUGAAAUUUCGGAGCUUAACUCCGAAACUGCAUUUGAUACUGCCUUGCUUGAGGACUGGAGAGGAGACUGGAAUUCACGGUGUAGCAGUGAAAUGCGUAGAUAUCGUGAGGAAGACCAGUGGCGAAGGCGGGUCUCUGGACAGUUCCUGACACUGAGGACAAGGCCAGGGGAGCGAAACG